rnacentral:misc_RNA from 1 species
GAUGAAGAACGCAGUGAAAUGCGAUAAGUAAUGUGAAUUGCAGAAUUCAGUGAAUCAUCGAAUCUUUGAACGCACAUUGCGCCCGCUAGUAUUCUGGCGGGCAUGCCUGUCCGAGCGUCAUUUCAACCCUCAAGCCCCCGGGCUUGGUGUUGGGGAUCGGCGAGCCUCCGCGCCCGCCGUCCCCUAAAUCUAGUGGCGGUCUCGCUGUAGCUUCCUCUGCGUAGUAGCACACCUCGCACUGGGAAACAGCGCGGCCACGCCGUUAAACCCCCAACUUCUGAACGUUUGACCUCGGAUCAGGUAGGAAUACCCGCUGAACUCAAGCAUAUCAAUAAGCGGAGGA